CGGGGUGGAGUAACAACGUGGAUAACCUACCUAUAAGACUGGGAUAACUUCGGGAAACCGGAGCUAAUACCGGAUAACAUGUUGAACCGCAUGGUUCAACAGUGAAAGACGGUCUUGCUGUCACUUAUAGAUGGAUCCGCGCCGCAUUAGCUAGUUGGUAAGGUAACGGCUUACCAAGGCAACGAUGCGUAGCCGACCUGAGAGGGUGAUCGGCCACACUGGAACUGAGACACGGUCCAG
rnacentral:rRNA from 1 species